rnacentral:rRNA from 1 species
ACGGAAGGCAGCAGUGGGGGAUAUUGCACAAUGGAGGAAACUCUGAUGCAGCAACGCCGCGUGAGGGAAGAAGGUUUUCGGAUUGUAAACCUCUGUUUUCGGUGAAGAAAGAAAUGACGGUAGCCGAAGAGGAAGCCACGGCUAACUACGUGCCAGCAGCCGCGGUAAUACGUAGGUGGCAAGCGUUGUCCGGAAUUACUGGGUGUAAAGGGUGCGCAGGCGGGACUGCAAGUUAGAUGUGAAAUACCGAGGCUUAACCUCGGAGCUGCAUCCAAAACUGUGGUUCUUGAGUGGAGUAGAGGUAAGCGGAAUUCCGAGUGUAGCGGUGAAAUGCGUAGAUAUUCGGAGGAACACCAGUGGCGAAGGCGGCUUGCUGGGCUUUUACUGACGCUGAGGCUCGAAAGUGUGGGGAGCAAACAGGAUUAGAUACCCUGGUA